rnacentral:lncRNA from 1 species
AGGGAAAGCCCCAAAUAUGGGAACCUGGAAAGAAGUAUUGAGAGAGUGAUCCUUUGGGAUAGGAGGUUGAAGAAACAGCAUUUGUUCAGUGUGCCAGGCGAGAUCGUGCAUUCGUGUAUGAUUGUUUUAUUAUGAAUCCUUUCACAGGUGAGACACGUGUCCUCCUAAAACUCAAGAGCAUCAGAAACCACUAUUUGCCCAGAAUAUUUAUUCUCCGUCAUCACCAGUGGCUCAGCUUUUUACAAACCACUCUCACAGGCGGGAAAAACACAAAAGGCCAGCCAGUUCCUGCUGGUGGACAUGCUGAAGGAGGACCUGAGAUGCUAAAGAAACAGCUCACACACAAGGGGAAGGAAGCCCAGGUAGAGGGUAUGGAUCCCUCGAACCUGUCAGCAGACGGAACACGCGGCUCCUCGUGUGCAGAGAAACAGCUCCAUCCGAGAACACAGCCUGGACCUCCGCCUACUCAUGUGAUGAAGGAACAACAGUAGCCUUGGCAACCCUCCCUUGUGCCACCUACCUGCAGCCAGCUUCUCCCCCACCACCAUCACCAGCAGGUCACUCUGGCCAUCUUUGAUGGCCCUCUAUGGGAGAUAUCACUAUGACCUCAGCUUCCCCCUGGUUGGUUGGCAAGAGUAUCUUGCUACAACCAACCUUUUCAUGGAUACAUGGUCAUAUCAUCUGCGGGCUGGUGAGGUGGACACCUGCCAUCAAGUCUGUCAAGCUGAGUUCUAUCCCUCAGACCAAGGUAAAAGAAGAGAACCAACUCUUGCACGUUGUCCUAUGACCUCCACACACAGCAAUUGCACAAACAAAUAUGAUCAAAUAUUUUUUAAAACAAACAAAGAAAAUUUGGGUCCACAUUUUCUUAAUUUGGACACAGGCAGGUCCAUGGGCAAGAAUGAUGGCCUAUGCCUGACAUCUCAGCACUCAGGAAGCUGAAAUAAGAAUGCGUGUAUUUGAGGCCAGCCUGGGGUACACAGUGAGUUCCAAGACAGCCUGGGCUACCCUUUAUAAUAAGAAAGGAAAGACCAUUGGAUCUUCACCAUGAAUCACAAGUUACAAAACCCAGAGCAUCGUUCUGAGCUAAGGAAAAUGAGUGUAGGGCAGCAGAGCCCUGAACAUGGUACCCUGGACUCAGUCCCACAAGGUUCUGUUCCCCUGGCCAGACAGAGUCCGACACGCUCGCAGCCCUGUGGGGGAGAGAGAAUGAGGUGCAGGAUACACUGAUGAGGUCGCCUUCCUGCAAGAAGCCUCUCAUGGCCAGCUCAUCCUCCGCAGACCUUCUCCUCUGAAACACACAAGCACAAACGAACACAUGACACAGCCCCUCAGAAGGGCUCUCCCCACCACUGCUCUCUGCUUGAAGCCAGCCAUGGUACUGUAAUACGAAGAAUUAUGACAAGAGGUCGCCAGGACGAGGUGGGAGCAAGGGAGAGGACAGUAGCUCUCCUCAGUGGGACCCUGAGUUGACAAUCAGACCCUGAGCAACUGCACACUCACUGUGACUGCCCCACUCACCCAGCACACUUCACACCAGGCUGUCUCUGGUCACAUAUCUCCCUUCACCUGAGUCCCCAACCUCACUCCACGGUCCCACUAUGAACAUCUGUUCUCUGGUGCCUGUAUUUCCUCGUUCUCCUGCUACCUUACAGCUCUGUUAUCACAUAUCCUCCGCCCAUCUAUAAUAUGGUCCUUGUGGGACUCAGCUGUGCAUCCUUUUAUCUGGUACUCUCCAUAGGACCCAGCUCAGGGAGCCUCUCCAAAAUAUAUGACAGACUCAACAAUGAUAUGGACAAAAGCCUGUCACUGUCUGCAAUAACCAAGUACCAUUCAAGUCACUGAAAACUAAGGACAAGCAGGGCAGAGUGGCACAUGACUUUAAUCCCAGCAUUUGGGAGGUCAAGGCAAGCAGACAUCUGUGAGUUCCAGGCCAGCCUGAUUUUCAUAGUGAGUUCCAGGUCAGGGCUACACUGAGAAACCUUGUCUCAACCCCACCCACCCCACACUCCAAAAAGCAAGCAAGCUAAGGCAAACCCCUCAAGAGACACCUUCCCUGUGCAAGGCUGGGCAUCAAGAAAGGAAAUCAGCACUAAGAUCCUAAGACCCAAGAGCCUCCUCUCAGCUCCCUCCUGGGAGCCCACGCCAUGGGUGUUUCUGGUCUUACCACACACAAGCUGCUGCCCAUGUUGAGAGCACAGGGCUAGAAGAAAAGCCUCUGUGUUCACCAAAGUAGCAGAUCUGGUGACAAAACCACAGCAACCUCAUGUGAAGCAGACUUCUCAGGUGGAGCAAAGCCCCACAGCCCGACCGACCGGACAGUUCCAGAGCAGGCGAGCACUCACCAGCUCUCCCCCAGGUAGGUUCAUGGAUGAGAGGAGCAAGACGGAGUCCAGCCUGGAAUUGGUCUCUACCUUCCACCUCUUCUGUUGAACCUGUGAGAGAAAUAAAUGUGGGAUAGCAUUUCACACCACCCCAGAAACAAAGGGCCCCUUCUUCAUACUUUCACAGAUGAAGGCCCCAAUCCCUGAGCCGCCAGCCUCCUUCUCUUUAUGAACACUGACUUUACCUCUGUGAUUCUCCCCACUACAAUGUCUCCGACCUCUCCAUUGUAUCUGCAAGAGAAAACAGAAGCUUACCAAUAGCCAGCGGGCUGGCCACACAGUGUCUGAGGCUGAACAAACAGAAGGGAGGCAAUAACCAUCUUUUUUAGCACAUGGGUAUAAUUACUGUUUAGACCUGGGAACUUCAGACUCUCAUUAGCUAUCCUUAAAGCAUCUGCUCACUGCAAGCUGUUACAUGUCCACACUGCCUGCCUGGCUCAGACACUUUGCUGGUCCCUCACCCUGAUUCCAAGGGUGAAAUGCCCUUUGUUAAGG